AUGGCCCUGACUGAAGACCAGCAGUUGCACUAUAGCUGUUGGUUUCAAGCAGAGGCCCAAAGGACUAUCUUCCUGUGAUCCAUUGGUUCUGGAAAAUGAGCACAGAAUGGCUGUUUUCAUUGGGAAGAGACAACC